CGGAUUAUUGGACAAAGAGGCUUAACAGAAUUUCUAAUGCCUAGAAGAAGUUGGAUGACAAGACAGCUAACAAAGGCAAAAAUGAUGUUGAAGCUGGUGCUUCUAAGAAGAGGAAGGUGUGAUUAUGGUAUGUGUGUCUUCUCAUCUUUCCCUAUAUCCCUGUCUUACAUUUACAGUGUCUUUGAUGCUUGAUUUUUCUAAUUUUUUUUUCAUUCUCAUAAGUUAGCUUCUGAUAUCAUUGGUUUCUACUAGGGUUUUUAGCUUUUAUCCAUGUUGCUAGUUGUCCUGCUAUUAUCUUAUGUUCAUGUAAGACUUUAAUGUUUGUGUUAGACUGUAUUUUUAUAAUCAUAUGCGACCUUGUGUUGUCUUAAUAUUAUCCCUUAUUAUUUUACGCUUUUUAUUUUGAUUUUUGAAAUGUGUCACAUGCUUUUCUAUAUGAUAUAUAUGUUGUACUUGGUGUUGUCAUAGAUCUGUCAGGGUGUGUGUAAGUGAUUUCUUUUAAUUUUUACAUUUCCUUCUUACUAAACAUUAGUUUUUUUUGCAUCAUAAAUUUAGCAUUAAUGGCAUGUUAUUUUUGAUGGGUCUUCGUCACUUUUGUUCUUGUAAAUUAAUCUCAAUAUUUGACAAGUUUGUAUUUUGUUUUCAUAGAAUUUUUGUAAUUCUUAGGUAUAAUCUCAGUUAUCUUUUGUAAUUGUUAUUUGAUAUGUUAUUUCUGUUGGUAAGCUGUUAGGUAUAAUUGAUAAGUAAUUAUGAAAAAUUUCAUAUUACCCAUACAGUUCAAUUUAUAUAUGUUUAUCUCAUCAUCUGCCAACUUAUUUUGCUCUAAUAUAUUUGAUACAUGUUAUGGUCUAAAUGCAUUAUCUAGAGUAGGUUCAUUCAUAUACAGUUGUAAUGUACUAAAUUUAUAUGGAUAUUCUCAUUUGUCAUUUGUUCUGUCUGCGUAUGUAAUUUUUCUUUUGUGCAAUUGAAUAUGCUCAUCAAUAUAUUACAAUGCUUUCAAGUAUUUUUACUCUAUGAAGUUUGAAGAUAUUUCUUCAUAAUGCUAUGUAAUAUUUUUCACACUCCAUAUGUAAUUUUUCAUUU
rnacentral:lncRNA from 1 species